AUGGCAUUUGAGCUGAUGGAACCUUGUGUGCCAUGACACCGGAGAACACCUGCAACACCCUGCCCAGCAGAACAGUGUGAGCUACCAGCCAGGUGCUGGGGAAGGUACAGGACACAAUGUGGUCCUUUGGGGCACCUCAUUGGCAGUCCAUGCUGCCUUCCUCUCAUCACGCAGUCCUGGAAAUGAAGGAACCGAGACCUGUUUGUUUUCCAGCUGUGGAAAGCUGCUUCCAAAUUACCUCUGUAGCAAGGAACCAUGACAUCCCCUGUCGCGCAGGAUGCUCUGGCCUGGUAUCUAAAGACACAGUUUAUCUCAUAGCCCUUCUCACUGAGAUCAGAACCCACUCAUGAGAUUUGAUAUUGACCAAUAACCAGGUAGGUUUAACUCUUUCUGAUCCUUCGGACUCCUCAAUAUUCAAAAUGAAAAAAGCACCCAACAACAUGAUGUCAACAACCUGCCUCCUGUACCACGUGGGGGUGCCCAAGGCUGGCUUUGCCAAGCUCCACCAACACCUCUAGGUACUGUAAAUGUAUAAAUGCAUCCUGUAGCUUCCUGAGAGCUUUAGAAGCAUCUGCUUCUUAUUCAGAAGUGGCUUACCCAGUGUUUAUUUUCAGCUCAGAGGAACCCAAAGCCACGGUAUAUAUUAUACUUCUGCAUUAUUUUCAUCUCAAUAUAUUGCAUCCCUUGUGAUGUGACAAGAGCCUCAAGACUUGAUAAGUAGCACAGAGAGGGCAAGAACAGAUCAGAGACUACUUUUUACUCUAUGGAAAUAUCUUCCCACAUAUGUCAGCUGCAUGAAAACGUUAUUGCUCUUGCACUUCAGAGCAGCAAGAACCAGUUUUGGGCAGCACUCUCUUGGAUGCAAACAAAGCAGCACUGUGCUCAGGGCACUCAGAAGGGCACCAUUUACAGCAAGAUGGGAGAAUGGAUACAGCGGUGGUGCAGUUGGCUUUUAUUCUCCUUUCUAGUAAUGCAAGAGGGGUAACACCCACUGCUAUGCAUCUUAAUGGCAGUAAGCUUCCUAAUUCCUGUUUCCAGUAAUCUCAAGUCAUCUCCAAAUUUAGAGGAGUUGUACAAGAGGAAGCAAUUCCAGCCAUGGCGCGGAACAUUCUCAUGAGAAGAUACUAAAAGGAGGAAAUAUAGCAGAAGAAUGAACUGUUCACUAGAAUAAGGAGCCUAGAAAUAAAGUCUGUCCAGAGAGCA
rnacentral:lncRNA from 1 species